CCUACGGGUUGCACCAGUGGGGAAUAUUGGACAAUGGGCGCAAGCCUGAUCCAGCCAUGCCGCGUGUGUGAAGAAGGCCUUUUGGUUGUAAAGCACUUUAAGCGAGGAGGAGGCUACUUGGAUUAAUACUCUAGGAUAGUGGACGUUACUCGCAGAAUAAGCACCGGCUAACUCUGUGCCAGCAGCCGCGGUAAUACAGAGGGUGCGAGCGUUAAUCGGAUUUACUGGGCGUAAAGCGUGCGUAGGCGGCUUUUUAAGUCGGAUGUGAAAUCCCUGAGCUUAACUUAGGAAUUGCAUUCGAUACUGGGAAGCUAGAGUAUGGGAGAGGAUGGUAGAAUUCCAGGUGUAGCGGUGAAAUGCGUAGAGAUCUGGAGGAAUACCGAUGGCGAAGGCAGCCAUCUGGCCUAAUACUGACGCUGAGGUACGAAAGCAUGGGGAGCAAACAGGAUUAGAUACCCUAGUAGUC
rnacentral:rRNA from 1 species